GUGCCGUCUGCGCUAUUGGAAACUACCUCUUAAAGAUAUUCCUUAGUUCAGGGUUUCUCCAAGCAACUGCACCAAAGUUUCUCCAAAGUAUUAAGAAAAGUCAAUGCCUACUGGGUGUACAGGCACCCAGUAACAAGUUUUUCCGAAAUCUUGCCUCUUUAAAAAAAUAAUGGAAAGGUAAUGCUGAUUUUGUUUUCUACUCCACAAUAGGUCUGCUUUUAUAUAAAAAAUCACCUUUAAAAUUACUUAUCCGCUCAAUUCCUUAGCCUUUUCCGUUUCCUAUUUUCCAGAAAACGCAUCUUUAUUAUUUUAGAAAUGAGAAAAGUGAGGCUUAGAGGUUACUACCUCACAAAGCCAUCCGUCCAUCCUCACAAACUUGGAACCAGUUUCUCACUAACUCUGCACCCUCAACACCCCCUCACACUCUCGGUCACCCACCCGCGAACCCACCCGAACUGUACCCCUGCCCCCAGCCACACAAGCUCGGAUCACCGCACAUCAUAGAAGGCGAUUCCUCCCCUCCAUACUCCCAGCCCCGUCGCAGGCACUGCAAAUCCUCCCCUCCAGCGUCCCUGGCCCGUUUCAGUGUCCAGAAACCCAAGUCCCACAGGGCCGAAACCCAACUCACCGGCAGACAAAGACGACCAUGGCAAGUCGGAGAUUCCGCGCCUGCGCACUCCUUCCGCGGGCAGCGCUCCCAGAGGUCUCCUGGGCUGGGCCAGGCCCCGACUCAGAACCGGACGGAAUCGAGAGAUCUUGGCCCGUCCUCCGUGCCACUCUUUUGAGGGUAGACUACAUUUCCCAGAAGGUUCAGCGGUUUGAGUCAGCUUUUCGCGCGAACUUUUCCUCCGCCAGAGCUUGUGGGACUGUCUCCCUGGCCGGGGCAGGGGUGUAAAGAUGGACACCUGCAUGAGGGAAGGAAUAUGUGAGCAGCUUCCAUUUCCCUUCCAUGGUCUUCUCAGCUUCCUCCAACAGUAGAUUGUUCAGCCUCCCUAAAGCAGGAGAAGAGGAAGGGGAAGAAAGGUGUUUUUCCGGGUUUCUAAGCAAAUACCUUGCUGCAGAUCUUCAACUGCAGGGGAGGGCAUGUUGCCAGAACAUCCUGUUUACAGAGGCCACUUAAAAUCCUUACGUUAACCCUAGGCAUACUGUGGUCAUCCUUUU
rnacentral:lncRNA from 1 species